GUUUAUCCUGGCUCAGCGCGCGGGUGGCUUCGUUCCAGUGUUGCAUUUACAAUGUGACGUAGCGAUGGCUGUAAAUGCAUUAUCUGGAAUGCAAGGCGUCCGCGCCCGCUCUCCUCCUCCGCC
rnacentral:pre_miRNA from 14 species